rnacentral:misc_RNA from 1 species
CCGACAGCCGCCCCGCGAUGGGCGCCAUGAUGGCGACCACAAUCGACCACGGCGUCAUGAAGAAUCCGGUUUCAACCUGGGUGCGGUGGAGAACAUCCUCGAAGUAGAACGGGAGCGAAACGAACGCGAGCCCCUGCACUGCGAACGAGCAGACCGCGGUCGCAACCGACAGGGAGAACAUCGGCCUGCGAAACAAAUCGAUCGG